rnacentral:rRNA from 1 species
CAUCGCCUUCUGUUACAUAAUAGAAGGUCCAGCCUGCCCAGUGAUAAACUUAAACGGCCGCGGUAUCCUGACCGUGCAAAGGUAGCAUAAUCACUUGUUCUUUAAAUAAGGACUAGUAUGAAUGGCACCACGAGGGCUUUCCUGUCUCCCCCCUUUAAUCAGUGAAACUAAUCUCCCCGUGAAGAAGCGGGGAUAACCCUAUAAGACGAGAAGACCCCAUGGAGCUUAAAACAAGUACCGCUUGCACCACUCAACACCAUUAAAAUAAAGCAAAAUCGUCCUACAAGUUUUUGGUUGGGGCGACCGCGGGGUAAAACAAAACCCCCAUGAUGAAAGGGCCCACCCCCUAAUUAAAGAACUACAAUUCGCAAAAUCAGCACACUGACUUAAAUUGACCCAAUACUUGAACAACGAACCAAGUUACCCUGGGGAUAACAGCGCAAUCCAUUUCAAGAGCCCCUAUCGACAAAUGGGUUUACGACCUCGAUGUUGGAUCAGGGUAUCCCAGUGGUGCAGCCGCUACUAAAGGUUCGUUUGUUCAACGAUUAAAACCCUA